rnacentral:rRNA from 1 species
UACGGAGGGGGCUAGCGUUGUUCGGAAUUACUGGGCGUAAAGCGCACGUAGGCGGCUUUGUAAGUUAGAGGUGAAAGCCCAGGGCUCAACCCUGGAAUUGCCUUUAAGACUGCAUCGCUUGAACAUCGGAGAGGUAAGUGGAAUUCCGAGUGUAGAGGUGAAAUUCGUAAGAUAUUCGGAAGAACACCAGUGGCGAAGGCGACUUACUGGACGAUUGUUGACGCUGAGGUGCGAAAGCGUGGGGAGCAAACAGG